rnacentral:rRNA from 1 species
UAAAUAGUCUGGCUCACUCUUCGGGGUGCGGCUGGGACUUCUUAGAGGGACUAUCGGUGGGUAGCCGAUGGAAGUUCGAGGCAAUAACAGGUCUGUGAUGCCCUUAGAUGUUCUGGGCCGCACGCGCGCUACACUGACGCAUUCAUCGAGCUUACAACCUUGGUCGAUAGGUCUGGGUAAUCUUUGAACGUGCGUCGUGCUGGGGAUAGAUUAUUGUAAUUUUUAAUCUUCAACGAGGAAUUCCUAAUAAACGCGAGUCAUCAGCUCGCAUUGAUUACGUCCCUGCCCUUUGUACACACCGCCCGUCGCU